rnacentral:rRNA from 1 species
CCUACGGGAGGCAGCAGUGAGGAAUAUUGGUCAAUGGCCGGAAGGCUGAACCAGCCAUGCCGCGUGAAGGUCAGUGCCCUAUGGGCGUUAAACUUCUUUUGUGCGGGAGCAAUAAUGGUCACGUGUGGCCAGACGAGAGUACCGUACGAAUAAGCAUCGGCUAACUCCGUGCCAGCAGCCGCGGUAAUGCGGGGGAUGCAAGCGUUAUCCGGAUUUAUUGGGGUUAAAGGGUGCGUAGGCUGUGAGGUAAGUCAGCGGUGAAAUGCCCCCGCUCAACGGGGUGAAGUGCCAUUGAUACUGCCUUGCUGGAAUGCGGAUGCCGUGGGAGGAAUGUGUGGUGUAGCGGUGAAAUGCAUAGAUAUCACACAGAACACCGAUUGCGAAGGCAUCUCACGAAUCCGCGAUUGACGCUGAUGCACGAAAGCGUGGGUAUCAAACAGGAUUAGAUACCCCUGUAGUC